GAGGAAUAUUGGUCAAUGGGCGAGAGCCUGAACCAGCCAAGUCGCGUGAAGGAAGACUGCCUUAUGGGUUGUAAACUUCUUUUAUACAGGAAUAAAAAGGCUUACGUGUAGGCCAUUGCAAGUACUGUAUGAAUAAGCAUCGGCUAACUCCGUGCCAGCAGCCGCGGUAAUACGGAGGAUGCGAGCGUUAUCCGGAUUUAUUGGGUUUAAAGGGAGCGUAGGCGGACUAUUAAGUCAGCUGUGAAAGUUUACGGCUCAACCGUGAAAUUGCAGUUGAAACUGGUCGUCUUGAGUAUGGAUGAAGUAGGCGGAAUUCGUUGUGUAGCGGUGACAUGCAUAGAUAUAACGAGGAACUCCGAUUGCGUAGGCAGCUUACUAAGCCAUAACUGACGCUCAUGCACGAAAGCGUGGGGAUCAAACA
rnacentral:rRNA from 1 species